ACGGAGGGUGCAAGCGUUAAUCGGAAUUACUGGGCGUAAAGCGCACGCAGGCGGUCUGCCAAGUCGGAUGUGAAAUCCCCGGGCUCAACCUGGGAACUGCAUUCGAAACUGGCAGGCUAGAGUCUUGUAGAGGGGGGUAGAAUUCCAGGUGUAGCGGUGAAAUGCGUAGAGAUCUGGAGGAAUACCGGUGGCGAAGGCGGCCCCCUGGACAAAGACUGACGCUCAGGUGCGAAAGCGUGGGGAGCAAACAG
rnacentral:rRNA from 1 species